UAUAUUGUCUGGUUAACCACAAUAAUGGAACUUUUAAUUUUUAGAUCCUGCUCUUCUACACAAGUUUUCUUCAAAAUUAUCACUUAUUGGGGUCAUAGAUUGUGGCUCUUCAACCGAGAUUUACUCUACAGAACAAGCCUUAUGUGGAGGGUAUUAUUCUUUGCUUUUGUAAAAAUGAAGACGGGAGGAUCUCAUGAUCCAGCAGAGGGGACAUUAGGCUGCGGACCAGGUAUGAAAGGUAAAAUCCCCUACUGUCUUAGUUUCAUUUGUUUCUCCUAA
rnacentral:lncRNA from 1 species